rnacentral:rRNA from 1 species
CAGCCGCCGCGGUAAUUCGAAGGGUGCAAGCGUUGUUCGGAAUGACUGGGCGCAAAGGGCGCGUAGGCGGUUUUGUACGUUUGAUGUGAAAGUCCUGGGCUUAACCUGGGGACUGCAUUGGAUACAGCAGAGCUAGAGAGCGAGAGAGGGAAACAGAAUAAUGCGUGUAGAGGUGAAAUUCGUAGAUAUGCACUAGAACACCGGAGGCGAAGGCGGUUUCCUGGCUCGCAACUGACGCUAAGGCGCGAAAGCGUGGGGAGCAAACAGGAUUAGAUACCCCCGUAGUCCCUGUCUCUAUACA